GCAAUGCGCGAAAGCGCGACAAGGGGAUUCCAAGUGCAUGCACUAAGUGUAUGCUUUUCGUGAGUGUAAAAAGCUCACAGAAUAAGGGCUGGGUAAGACUGGUGCCAGCCGCCGCGGUAAUACCAGCGGCCCUAGUGGUGAUCGUUAUUAUUGGGCCUAAAGCGUCCGUAGCCGGUUCGGUAAAUCUCUGGGUAAAUCGUUGGGCUUAACUCAGCGAAUUCUGGGGAGACUGCCGAACUUGGGACCGGGAGAGGUCGGAGGUACUCCAGGGGUAGGGGUGAAAUCCUGUAAUCCUUGGGGGACCACCGGUGGCGAAAGCGUCCGACCAGAACGGGUCCGACGGUAAGGGACGAAGCCCUGGGCGCGAACCGGAUUAGAUACCCGGGUAGUCCAGGGUGUAAACGCUGCGCGCUUGGUGUAGGGGGUCCCACGAGGGCAUCCUGUGCCGGAGAGAAGUUGUUAAGCGCACCGCCUGGGGAGUACGGUCGCAAGACGAAACUUAA
rnacentral:rRNA from 1 species